rnacentral:rRNA from 1 species
UACGUAGGGGGCUAGCGUUGUCCGGAAUCAUUGGGCGUAAAGAGCUUGUAGGCGGCCCGGUAAGUCCGCUGUGAAAGUCGGGGGCUCAACCCUCGAAUGCCGGUGGAUACUGUCGGGCUAGAGUGCGGAAGAGGCGAGUGGAAUUCCUGGUGUAGCGGUGAAAUGCGCAGAUAUCAGGAGGAACACCAAUUGCGAAGGCAGCUCGCUGGGACGUAACUGACGCUGAGACGCGAAAGCGUGGGGAGCAAACAGG